UACGGGGGGAGCAAGCGUUGUUCGGAUUUACUGGGCGUAAAGGGCGCGUAGGCGGUCGUGACAAGUCACUUGUGAAAUCUCCGGGCUUAACUCGGAACGGUCAAGUGAUACUGUCGGACUAGAGUACAGAAGGGGCAACUGGAAUUCUCGGUGUAGCGGUGAAAUGCGCAGAUAUCAGGAGGAACACCGGUGGCGAAGGCGGGUCUCUGGGCCGAUACUGACGCUGAGGAGCGAAAGCGUGGGGAGCAAACAGG
rnacentral:rRNA from 1 species